UGUGUAGAUUAUAUUAACUUUACUGUGGUGUUUUCUGCUGUUUUGUUCAGUCAGCAUCCUAAGUUUGGCUACAGUUGUUAAGCAUGUGUAAAAUAAAGAUAAUUAAAAAAUGGGGCAUUGCGACGCAUAUUUCUGCAUCCAGUGGCAGCGAUCCAUAACAGUAAGGUUGGUGCAACAGGAUAACUUUUAAUCUAAUAAGCCCCAUGAUCCCUGUGUGUGAGGCUGCAUGCAGGAGCUUAGUCUUAGUAUCACAUGGCUGGGAGAAAAAGGCCUUCUCUGAUUCACCAAAGCUGGUGGACUUCUGACAGGUCCUUUAACUACUCUCUGUUGGCUAAUCGGUUUUGUUAGCCAGUUUGGCAAACACUCUGUUUACUUGCCUCUAUAAAUUUUAUUACUACUCCUUACAUCUUUGGCAUUAAGAGGACAUGCAAUGUGAAAAGAAUGUGGGCCUUUUAUAUCAUAGGAGCUGCAUACGGUGCUAUGAAUUAUACAUAUGUUCCAACAUGGAUGCAAUUGUGUGAGUUAAGAAUGCUCCUCCUGAGUUAAUCUGGCGCCCCAACACCCUGCUGGUACCUAAGCGAAGAGACAAGAAUUUGUUUGGGGCCAGUUUGUUAAGUUAUCCGUUUUUGUGUUGUUUUUUUUUUUUUCCUCCAUCCCACCUACUCUUUUCACCCUUUUGCAUAAAAAGAUGUUUGAUUUGGGGUUUUGGCCGUUGUUUGAUUUGACUUGACAGUUGGCUUGGUUUUGAAUGGGCCGUGGCAAAGCCUCCAUUGCAUGAGGUGCUACCAUGUGGAAAGGCCUGAUGGGAUCUUACUGAAUGCUGAUGUGUGUGCAAGCAAGGCUCAGAGGGGGUGUGGUCCAGGAGCAAUCAAGCAGAAAGUACCCCCAGUGACAAGAUGCAUGAGUGAGAGAAGGAGAACAAUCUCACCCUUUAGGUUCAUUGCUGGAGCUCAUGGUGAGGAGUAAUUGGUCAAUCAGAUCUUCAUCCUAAAGGCCUCUGAUGGCUGAUUGAAGGUGUGAUUUCUGUUCUGCCCAUCAAAGCAAGAGGGUCACUCCUGCUGAGAGAGACCUGCUAAGGAUUGUUCCCAAGGUCUCAAAGCUGUGGUGCCACAAGGCUAGAAGUGAACUCCAAUUGUAAUACAUAUUCCACUUGGUGGUUUGCUGUUGCAACAUGGUGCAGCUAAGAGAUCUCCCUUGUGUUUGAAUGUAUUCAGCUUGACAUGGCACAAAUUAUAAAAGUUUGUGUGGCAGCCUUACCUCACAAUGUCAAUCUCGUCAAGUCCUGAGAUUGUGCCUGCCAUCCUGCUGCAUUGCAGGUGCUGAGUGUGACAUUUGAGCUCUGAGCUCAGCUAGUAAGAGAGAGGAACGAGGGCCUUGACAGGAAGUGACAGCCAGAGAUAUCACCUUCUUGGAUGGCAAAGUAGUACCUGGUUCCUUCUCAGCUUUGCUGCUGCCAUCACCACUACUGUGUGUGUGUCUGUGUUUGUUUCCUAUAAUUCCAGAAUAGGCCUUGUCUAGACAGCAUCAUACAGCAGGGCUAUGAUUUAAUAUUUAAAAUGAGAGAUUAAUAAGUAUGCCUGGUCAUAUCCAAGCAGUUGUAUAUCUUAAUAAGUGUACUUUUCAUAAUGAAUUUAGCACCCAACAGGUACAAAAUGGACAGAUUUUUAGCAUUCUAGAGAUAAGUUGUUUGUUUCACUCUGUUUUUUGUCAGUUAGUGUUGGGGCUAAACAGGAACUGAAGCCUUGGACAGAUUGUGUUUACACCCUAAGCAGCGCCUUGGGAGAUGCAUGUCAUGGUGCAAAUGCUUUGUUCUGGCUUGGUGUGUGGCACAGUUAUAUCACUAACACAUCACACUAGGGACACCAGAGAAGAGACCGUCUUAGCUUAUGCCUGCCUGAAAAUGGCAUGGAGAUGGGAGAGUUCCUAAAAACCACCUUAGGGCCGUGGCUCUCUCUUUUUCUGUGUCCCCCGGCAGUGUUUGAAAUAGAAAGAAGGCGCAUAGAGAAAUGGUGUAGAAGGAAAGGCAGGGGGAGGAAAGAGAGGAAGGAGGGUGGUGGGUUUGUCUUAGUUUUCAUGCAAUAGUCAAGCAGAUUUAGACUCUAAGUGUCAAAUAGAAAAACAGCCAUUGUGGUUGGGUCCUUCUCGCCCCCCCACCAGUAGACUUUACAGUCAAUAGAGCUAGUCCACUUGUCACCGAGGGACAAUGCGUCCCUUUUCCUUCCUUUCAGGCUUGUCAGGUCCAAGCAGCCAGACAGUUUUCUGAAUAAGACCCAGUGAUUCUUGUCCCCUUUUCUCCGCCUCUCUUUCUCUAGUCGGAACACACCAACAGGGCUUGGAAAAUGGCUUCACUGUUGGGCUAGAAGGCAAAGACUAGACUAUGUUAUUUUCUACAACAUUGGCAGCCCCUCCACAACCCCCCAUGCUCACACAGAAAUGAAUGUAACUUAGGCAGUUGCAAAUUCAAUGGGCCUCACCAGACAAAAGAGAUUAAGUUUGGCAACUUAGCAGUAACAGGUGUACUUUGUGCUCAGACCACACGGAGGGUGACUGCUGUUGUCUGACCCGAUGCUCUGUUUGCCUUCCUGAUGAUUUUCAGUCAUACAGAGAUAAAGUUGUUUUUUUUUUUUGUUUGUUUUUUUUUGUUUUGUUUUUUGGGGAUUGCUUUCAGACCUUGGUGACAUAGGAGGUUUAGUAAAAGGUGUGUUUGGCAUAUUUUUCCCAGCACUAGCUUCUUGUAAUUUUUUCUGCAUUUGAGCUGAGCGGAAAAUCUUGCUCAGUUUAUCCACAUUUCUCCCAUGAGUUGCCACAUUUUCUCCAAAGGGAUUCUGCAGAUAUCUUUAGAUCUCAAGCAGUGCUUACCCAAGGGAGAAAGUUAAAGGUAAACAAUGAAGGCACGCAGAAACUAAAAGAAAUAUCAAAGAAAAUGCAGCGCUGCUUUGUUACAUGAAAAGAUUUUCACAUUUAGAACUGAGACGGUGAUGUUCUAGGAGGGGGAGCAGCUUUCAAAGAGUAUGAGUAAAGCCUUUUCUGUUCAUACCUUCAGUAUUUUCAACCACAAUAAAUCAAGCCAUUCAGUAACAGUACAAACAGAGACACUCUCAGCGCUAGGGCAAAACAGUGUGUGCAUUUGUUUGUUUCAGUCAUUAAUAAAGCUUUUACCAAGAGCCCCUGUCCUCAGAAAAGCCCAUUCUGGUGAAAUGACUUGGCAAAGCAUCCGAUGGAGGGUCUGUUCAGACUGAAGCUGCUCUGACUGCCAUUGUCUAGCUCUCUCUCUCACACCUACGUGUCCAGCGUAAGCACACAAUUUCAUUGUUGUGUGAGCUGUUAAUAUCGGAGGCUUCACAAUAGAGCCCAUUCGCCAUAUUUGCAUAAGGCACUUUUCCAACAAGGACCCAGAGAGGGCUUGAAAGCUGGCCCACUCCAGUGCCAAUGGCAAAAAAAUGUCAAGUGCCAAUUAGGAGAGGUUUGCCACCAUUCAGCAUUACCCCACCCCUGUAGUUCUUCUCCUUCCUGCUUAUCCACCCCAACUCUCUCACACUCCAAGUCACCCCUGGUUUUACCACCUUAUUCCAGUUUCAAAUGGAGCCUUCCCCUACUGACACCCAAAGACAAAAGCUGGCUCCCUCCUCUGCUGGCUAAUGGAGGAUCCUUUCUGCUUGGCUUAGACAAUUAGCAAAAUCAUACAGCGUGCUCCCUUCACUGAUUAGUCAGCUUUCUUUGUUGAUUACUCUGAAUGGUAAGGGUUUAGGAACUAUGCAGCUAAACCCGUGUGAUACAGGCUCCACCUGCUUUUGAAUAUUGAACUUACCAAGCUGGAUGAACUGUGAUUGUAUGAGUUUAGAUUAACAGGUUUUUUAUAUGCAGGUGUGGUUAAUCGACAACAAUAAAAAAGACAGAUGCUGAUUUCAAACAACUAAGAAUUGAAUCCUUUCAUCUGGUCAGUGUGUGUCAGUGUUGAUGACAUUUGGCAACCUAAUGAGUUCCUUUAAGCUAGUCCCACUUAUUAUUUUCUCCUGAUACACAUGUGAAUAUACAGCAUCUUAUUAUAAGACAGGUUGCAUUCAGGCUAUUUAACAGAGAAUGCUUGCUUUCAGACAAUAUUUAAAGAAGCUGCAUGAAAACCAAGUUAGCUUAAGUGAUGAUUGUCAACAGUACCAAAGACAAGUUUACAAUUCAUCAGAUCUUAAAAUCUCUGCAUUAUUCUCACUAAUGCUUAAGUGUAGCUGUCAGAUGCAAGGUUUGUGAUGACAGGAAUUUAGAGAUCAUCUUUGUAUAUGAUGUAACAUACUGUUUAUCCCAGGGAAAGCUUUGACAUUGAAUACAAAGGUAAAUUUGGUUCCUGACAUGAAGCAUGAAGUCAAAUUAAAUACACAAAUUAAGUCAUAGACAAAAUAAAAGAGUAACUGUGCUGGCCCAAUCGGGCUACUGUUGUUAUCCACAGAGUGUUUACCUAACUUACAGCCUCCUGCCACUCAAAGGGAUUUUUCUCUUGUCCUUUUUUCUCUUCCAUUCUUUCAUUCAAUCUCUGUGUCGAGUUUUUUUUUCCUUUCCCACCCUUGAUUCUCAGAUGGUUGGAUCUGAUUUGCAUGCAUUUGCAUAAUGAAAGUCAUUUGCAUGCUCGGGGGCAGACUGUACCAUGAGAACAGACAUGAAAAGGGUACCACACCAGUGAAGGAAAGCUGGCAAAAGAAGAUUGAAAAACAGAGAAGAAGGAGGAGGGGUUGCUGUUGAUUCUGCCCUCCCUCUCUCUUCGCCCUCCUCUGCAUCGCCUCUUCCCUCCUCCUCUUCCCUUCCUCCUUCACUCCAUCCUCAGCAGACUGCCCCUUUUUCCUGUACAGCGAAAUGCAGCCCGCGCCACCAUCUUAGAGCAACGCUGGCAUGAAAUGGAAGUGGGAAGACCAGUCAGUCCAGAUAAAUGUUGCUGGUCAGGGGGCUGCAGAGUGGACAGAACACACAAUGGGGGGACAGCAGGACUCCUCCUUUGCUGGUCGUUUGCUUCCUUUCAGUUGGAGUAAACAAGAUGAAGGUGCUGCUGUCUGCACACGAGUCAGUCGGGAUUCUGGCCAUUGAUCCAAAAGUCAAUGUGGACUGUUUGCAAACACCUCUUGGUGUUUUAGUUGAUGGACUAUGACUAAGGGAACCAGUGGGCUCGGACGGAUGAUCGGCAGCUGUAGACCUAGACAAACUGGUCCAGAAUUCUUUUUUAUGUUUUUUUCUUUUAAAAUGUGUAUGAUUAAAUUUUUUUUAAUAUCAUCUUGUGUAUUGACCUGUAAACAACAUUACAUGGUAAUGAUGUAGUAUAUAUGUCUUUAUCAAAUGUACUGGCUCCACUUACUGUAGGCUGAAUUUGAUUUGGGUUGUAGCCCAUGAUUUUUCUUGUUAUGUUUUGUAAUAGUUGCUAGGACUCAAAAGACACGUGAAUGUGAGACCCACGACAGCAGUGAAUAAUACUGCACUGCGAUUGGACAGCUCCGUGUGUCAGCUGACACAAUGGCGAAGGAGUGAGCUGUUGUCUUUAUACUCUAUGCAACUGUUCCGUCAAUUUUUUUUUGUCUUGGCAGAGCCCUUUUUCCUUUUUCCUCCCCUUCUGGGCUAGCAGUUUAUAGAUAUUCCUUUAGACAUCAUCAAGAAAAUUGUUUUUUGAGGAGGCUGCGUUAUCAUUGUUAAUAUACAGAAACAGAUAAUACUGGCAGAGUGUGUGGGAGUGUGUGACAGAUGACAAAGUACACCUCAGUUUCAUCAGUGGAUGGAUUAAAUCUCAUUUGCGAGCAUAACAGACUUUGAUUUUGCUGUGCAGCCAUGAACCAGUCGGAAUAAAUGUGUACUCAAAAUUUAAUAUUUCUGAAGGAAGGAGUGUGUUUGAUCUGCAAGAAGUAGCUCAUGGAGGCCGGUAUACAAACUACGCCACACUAUCAAAACCUGCUUCCCAGCAGGCUUUGAGACAUGGCAGUUUGCUUCAUAACAGUUUCCUGCCUCAGUGUAAUGAUACAUCUUUGGCUGAGACAUUACAAAUACAUAAGCUUCAAACACUGCUUUAAUUUCCUGUUCUUGACAUUAACACACAAACACGCACACACACACACAUCCAAAUGCAAUAAGGCAACUAUCGCAGGCUAAUUCAUUCUAUAUUAAUUUUUGGGAAGUGGCAAAUUUUUUAUUACGAUUGAUAAUCUAUGCAAAUCUUUUAAAUAUUACUUUAAACAAUCUAUGCAGUGCUUUUAGAAUUGAUUCAAGGGAGACUGUCUUGGCCUAAUUUAGAAAAUGUAUCCUUUUGAUAAUCAUGCACAUCCCAGUGCUCAAGACAAUUACUUAUCUGCCUGGAUAAGCUUGAAAUUAUGUUUUUAAUCUCUAGCAAAAGAGUCACUUUUCUGAUAUCAGUCCAGAGGCAUAAAAAACAUGAAUUCUGGUCUAUAAUAAUUUAAUCAGUUGCACUAAAUCUUUUUUUUUUUUUUUUUACAUAAAUGCAGAUGAAAUAUAUCUUUUUGUUGUUUGCUAUAGGCAGCAAUGUUUGUGUUAUGCAAUCUAAUCGUUGUGAAUGAGGGCUCACCACAUGUGCCUUUGUAUGCAAAACUGUGUUGGAAUAGUAAUAAAGGUUUACACUGAAAACAAUGCAAA